rnacentral:rRNA from 1 species
GACGAACGCUGGCGGCGUGCUUAACACAUGCAAGUCGAACGGAAAGGCCCUGCUUUUGUGGGGUGCUCGAGUGGCGAACGGGUGAGUAACACGUGAGUAACCUGCCCUUGACUUUGGGAUAACUUCAGGAAACUGGGGCUAAUACCGGAUAGGAGCUCCUGCUGCAUGGUGGGGGUUGGAAAGUUUCGGCGGUUGGGGAUGGACUCGCGGCUUAUCAGUUUGUUGGUGGGGUAGUGGCUUACCAAGGCUUUGACGGGUAGCCGGCCUGAGAGGGUGACCGGCAACAUUGGGACUGAGAUACGGCCCAGACUCCUACGGGAGGCAGCAGUGGGGAAUAUUGCACAAUGGGCGGAAGCCUGAUGCAGCAACGCCGCGUGCGGGAUGACGGCCUUCGGGUUGUAAACCGCUUUCGCCUGUGACGAAGCGUGAGUGACGGUAAUGGGUAAAGAAGCACCGGCUAACUACGUG